rnacentral:rRNA from 1 species
CCUACGGGAGGCAGCAGUAGGGAAUCUUCCACAAUGGGCGAAAGCCUGAUGGAGCAACGCCGCGUGGGUGAAGAAGGUCUUCGGAUCGUAAAACCCUGUUGUUAGAGAAGAAAGUGCGUGAGAGUAACUGUUCACGUUUCGACGGUAUCUAACCAGAAAGCCACGGCUAACUACGUGCCAGCAGCCGCGGUAAUACGUAGGUGGCAAGCGUUAUCCGGAUUUAUUGGGCGUAAAGGGAACGCAGGCGGUCUUUUAAGUCUGAUGUUAAAGCCUUCGGCUUAACCGGAGUAGUGCAUUGGAAACUGGGAGACUUGAGUGCAGAAGAGGGGAGUGGAACUCCAUGUGUAGCGGUGAAAUGCGUAGAUAUAUGGAAGAACACCAGUGGCGAAGGCGGCUCUCUGGUCUGUAACUGACGCUGAGGUUCGAAAGCGUGGGUAGCAAACAGGAUUAGAUACCCGAGUAGUC